ensembl:lncRNA
UGGAUCUUUUGAAUAAAUGGAUCAAUACAUGAUGAAUCACAAUGAUCGCAAGCAGAGGACCGUGAGAGUUAUUGAGCAGCAGAUGAACCAGUCCAAAAUCGGACACGUUAACGGAGCACUGAACUAGGCCCUCUCGGAUGCCAUUUGUUUCACGAGGACUCCUUUCAGCUGCACACCCCUCUUCCCCAUCGAGAUAACGGCUAAUAAAACGCUUGAGGUGAUGUUUUGAAAAGAAAAAACGUAAAUUUUUUUAGGACAUGGCAUGAAGGUAAUUAUGAGCCUUUGAUUGAUAUCCAGACAUUUUUUGCGGAGUCACAAUCCUGUUCCCCACUUGUAUUGGAGUGGACAGCGAUAUCUACUUCUGGGCCGCCUGAAAUGACGGACCCCCGUCCACAGCCAGCUUAAACAGCUGCAAUACCAGGCUUGGCCUCUGAGCACUGGUGGAUUGCGGAAGUAUGCGCCUAUCCUGGGGGCCGCAAUAAUGAGGACAAUCGAAAGCCGCGCCAUUUUUGCGUCCUUUGUUUUUGAGAAUUCCGCGAUUUUUCAAGGAUGCAUCGCUGCAUCCUAGAAGAGCCAAAACUACCCACAAUCCUCUGCGUUCACUGGGCGGGUUCUUGAAAAUGGCAGAGCAGUACACGUUCAAAUGAACUGCCGCUAGUUUUCUCUGUUUGUCUUGUCUGUCUGUCAUGUUCUGUUCCAUGUACGGGGGCGUGGCCUGCUGAACUCCCCAACCCAGCCACGGUGAUCACCCGCACCUGACCAUCAUCACCAAUCACGUCCACCUGUAUAUCUUCCCCAGUCAUUCAACCUUUCGUCGCCAGAUCGUCAACUACACUUACCUAGUUAAGUUAUCCUCCGACCUCUCUAGCCUUUUCCUAGUAAUUCUCGUUGUUCUCGUUCAGCACUCGACUCUCCUCUCCUGCAGGAAUACCAGUUCCUCCGAACCGUCGAGGGUGACUACCUGUCCGGCAAUCCACCCGACCCACCAUCUCCGGAUCGCCACAGACAUUCUCCUCUGCUCUGUGUAGCAAUAAAC